UGGUAAAAAAAAAAAAAACCCAAACAUGACUUAUUCAGAAUUGUAACCGUCACUAUCUAAAAGAUCUGUUCUUCCAUCAUGCUGUUGACAAGCUGCAUACAGAGCAGUUCUUUGACUUCGUCAGAUCUGUAUGGAAAGUGAUGAGGCUUUGAUGCGUUACUUGUCUGCGUCUGAGAGCUGAACGGGUAAACAGGACCGCAGCGGCAGCAGCAGCAGCAGCAGCAGCAGAAGAAGACGAAGAAGACUAGUAAAGUUCAGUGGGCGGGGGAGACAGGAAGAUGUCACCAGGUAAGGAAACAGUGACGAGGGGAUGGGUAGAGUGAGUGUGAGGACAGAGAGAAAGAAAGAGGGAGAGUCACACCUUGAGGAAGUUAACCAAAUAAUAGAAGGAGAACAAAAGACGCAUCAUACCGAAGGUAAAAGUGAUGUUUUCCUGUUAAAUUCACAUUAAAUGUUCAUGUCAGGCCUUGUUUAUCAUUUGGCAGACUCUACAGAAUGUGUCCUGCCUUUUCAAUUUGGUGUUUCUAACUGACCACUUGAUAUCUUGCCUUUAAUUUCUCCAUUUUGUAACUGUGUCUCCAUAGGAUGGGACUCGUGCAAUGUUUUAUGAUAGUCUUGAUGUUAUCUGCACAGUCGGUGUUCACCUUCCCGUCGGUAACAAAGCCCUUUCUCUUCAUCUUAUCUGUAAUCUCACAGAAACAUUUUAUGUUGUUUGCUUUUCAAGAAUAAGACAGAGCAAAUGUGUAAAUUACGUCUGUUCAUGUGUGAACAAAUUAAUCAGGACUUUGCUGUUGUAUAGUUGUCUGUGUCUAAUUGUUCUGAUGUGUUGACAGGCCACUAUAAAAGGCAAGUGUGAAGAAAUGUGCCCACCAGGUACAUAUAAGAAGUCUUGUACAGAGUGUGUGUCCUGUCCCCUUGGAAGGUACACGACUGAGUGGAACGCAGAAGACGACUGCCAUAUCUGCUACCCAGACUGCAGACCAGAUUAUCGUCUGGUGGUGGUUCAGAGUUGCACCAACACGUCCGACGUGCAGUGCAGCUGUGAGGCUGGCUUUGAAUGCUCGGAGUGGGUUACUCUCUCAACACACUGCAAACGCUGCAGGAAGAUCCAGUCAACAACUGAAGCAGGAACCACUAUCUCAGGCCAAGAUAAACACACGCCUUCCUCAGCUUCCUCAGGACAUAGCAGAACUUCUACUGAGCCCUGCCGAUUUCCCAAAUGUGGCUCUCAGACAGUCCCAACAGCAGAAAAUGGCAUAAAUCUCAAAAGAGACAAGAUGAGCAGUCAGCUGGCAGCCAUCUUGUGUCCAGUGGUUGUCAUAACAUGCGUGGCCCUCAUGAUCCUGUUCUUCGUUCGUCGGCCUGGAGAUGAAUCAUGUUUCAAGCAAGCUAUUGCAUUGCUGAUAUGCAAUGAGAGAGGUCGAGAUGCUUCUCACAAGUCAAAGGAGUCAACGCAUCAGUUCCCCAGAGACUCAUUCAGUGCAAAGCAGCCACCGCCCCUUUCAGCAGCCAAUCUGGGUCCAGUCCAUGUCCACAAUCCGGGGACGGUUAUCUUUAGCUUGCUCAGUCAGUUCACAGGCCAAGUUGGUCCGACAAUUGAAGCGGGGAAGCCGGCUGACAGGCCCCGUGGCGAAGAAGAAGAAGAAGAAGAGAGGGACUGUCCUGUGUUUCAUCCCACAUCCUCACCCAGUAUUCAUCUCUCUGAGGAGGAGAGGAGUGGAGAGAACGACAGCAUUUUCUUUCCCUCCCAGGAGCAGGGGAAGGAUUACCACGUGUCCAAAGAGGAGGCGCUAUGAUGCACCGCAAAAGCCAUAGAAGAUUUGUAGCGGUGGUUGUGACCACUGCAGUCCAGACUGAUUCCAAAAACUUUCUCUGAAAAGGACGGGAUGAUGAAAUUGCGCAACCACAGAUGAGUGAGGAGCAUAGCCAUCUUUCUCUGGCAAACUGUGAAUCACAGCGUUCUACAGAUAUUUUCAUCUGCAGGCUCUGGGAAAACAUGUGUUUAGUGCACAUCAGAAACUUUAACUCUGGGAAGAACAGCCGGAAUCUCCUUUGUAAGUUAUGAUUUACGAUGUAAAUACUCGUUAAUAAGCUCUGGCAGCUAUCUCUAAAGUACCUGCAUGAUAAUAUUUGCAUAAAUAACAGGCAUUUGGUUGGCAAUUAAAUUUUAUUGUGAAUUCAAAAACUAUGUAGAAAUGUCCGUAAGUUAAAAGCAUUCACAUAUAUGUACAAUCAGACUGUGAAUAUGCAGCAAAAAGUCUAUUUAUAUACCUACACCUAUAAAUGUGUAUAUAAGAUGUGAAAUAUCUUUAACUUUUGUGUACCAUAGUACAUACCCCUGUUUUUGAAAUAUACUGCGUACGCUUCACAGUGUCGCACACUGUAAUCUCAGUGCCUUUCAGGUGCUUUUCUGUCCUUUUAUACACUUAUUUUAACAUCACAGGUGUCAAAAAGUCAUGUUUCAUCUCAGGAAACAGCAUCAGUGUUGAAACAAAUGUUGUGUGGUUCCAUUCAUCAACAUGACCCAAGUGACGUUUGCCUCCAUUUAUCAUAAAAAAUGUCCAAAGCCACAAGAGAUCUGUCACUAAAUGUCCGUAUGUGAAAUUAGUGGUAAUCCAAGUCCAGUAUCCAUCUUCGGGUUAUUCACAUUUCCUGCUUCCUGGACAGGCUUUGAUACGUCUCCGUCCGGGGGGCAUGGUGUCACUGGUGGAUAUGGUUUAGUCAAAGGGCAGCCUGAGCAACAAAAGAAUGAGGCAAGUGUGAAUUCAUUAUGACGUAAUAAUCACUUAAGAUGUUAUAAAAUGAUAAAGUACAAUGCUCAUUGCACCUGCUGUAUGUAUACUCUGGUGCAAGGUUAUCUGUAUCUUGAUAAUAAUCUACUAACCAGACUUGGAUCUCAUCCAGCGCAGGAUGGGUUUGCUAUUUGUAACAACAACGAGUGCGAUUACUGCAGACAGGAGGGCAGUAAUCACCAGGAACCACACUUUAUCUGUAUGCAACAAGGAAGACAGACAUUUUUUACAUAUUUUAGAUGAAGAUCAAGAGAUCAAGAUCAAGUAUUUCCUUGCUGUUUACUGGCACAGACGGAACCUGUACUUUACCUCCAAGUGGUUUACUGGCUGCCGAGGGUGUGGCAGGGUUGGUAAGAGGUUUCGGGGCUGGAGGGAAGAGAUUAAACAUUUUAAUCAGCUCACAUUUAGACUUCAACACAUUUAAAAAUUCAGUGGAAAUAGGAAACUGUUCAUAGUUCAGAUUAGUCAUUGAGCUCAUUAUCUCUUCUUUUUGGCUCUGUGGUCAGGAAGUCAUUUAUAAUCCCAAAACAGGAUUUAUUAUGAACUCGUGUCACCUUGUGUGAAGGACUCCACUCAGUGGAUACCACAGAGGAUGCAUUCGUUAACUGUGAACAUUUGAAUAAACAUUUGUUUGUAUUAUUUUUAAUGAUUACAUCUGCACUGAUCCGUUCCAGUUGAACUUGGCAGCCUUUCAGGAAUGCUGUAGCAGGAUGUUGCCAUGGCUACAGUCCUCUCUGCAGUGCAACAUGUUGUGUUCAAGUGAACUUUUUCCUUGGGAAGUACAAAAGGGCGACCCUUUUUUAUGGAGCUGCUGGAGUGCUAAAUGUCAUCCAAAAAUGAUCAAGACAUCAACUACUGAGUCUGAAUCUGCUCAGUGCCCUUUAAAGCUCUUUUUGGCUGCUUUCAGGCAGCAAAACAUCAGCAUGACAGUAAUUUUUAGUAAUUCUUCAUGUUUCUCACUUUCUUCCAUCAGCCCCUGAGGGAAAUAUCUAGCUCUUUAGCUGCUUAAUGUUCUACUGUGUUCAUCAACUGGCAGUGCGGCAUUAUUAUCAGUGUUGCCAGAUCUAACGCAAGAAACAAGCAAGCAAGUCUAAAGCAACAAGCCCAAAAGAGGCUUUACAAUAAAAAAAAGCCCAAACCAGUGACUUUACCUUAUGUGAGAGAAAGAGUCCUCUUGAUUACUUUAUACUGUGUAUACAGCAUAUAUGUGAAUUUAUUUUGCAUCUCUAACCAAACCCAUUACUGAUGUCAGUAGCUACCUUUAUGAUCACCUCUAUGGUCACCUGGCAUCCUUGUGUUCACAGUGUUUCUGUAUUCUCUGUGUCAUACUGUACGCUGACUCUCAGGUUUCCGAUGUCCACAUCAACCUAAAUCAAAAACUAAAACUCAACUUGUAUAAACAUUAUAAAUGAAUACAUCCUACCUGUAGUGGGGGUUACGGGUGUGGUGGUGGUUGGUAUCGGCUCACACUCUUUACAGGGUUGUUCCCUGCACUGGUAGCCAUCUUUACAUCUGCACACAGCGUUAUGAGUGGCGUUACAUUCUGACUCAAACUCCAUGUUCGCUGUAAAGUAUGAAAGAAAGAAACAAAUAAUGAACAUUAAAAGAGUAAGUCAGUGUUAGUGAUGAACACACGUAUGUACAAAGGUAAAAUAUGACACAAAUCAGAAAAUGAAAAAUGACUCAGAAGGCAUGGCAGGUAUUGAUUCUGGAUUUAAGUCAUAAGACGGUUAUAUCAUCACAUUAGAAACCCAUUUUUUACAGACAGCUGUUACUUCUCAGUAAAAGCUGGGUUUCACUUUGAUAAAACAUUCUCUGUUACCAAAUGCUUUAACACGAAUACUUCAAAGUACAUUCACAAAUGAACAAAGAUCAACUACUUGGAUGAGCCCCUAUAGUCAUCACACAACAUUUGUUAUAACCAAUACAACAUAGUUUAUAAAACUACAACAAUGACAAUUAAGUUUUUGCGUAAUUGUGUCUACAGUUCAGAGAGGACUUCUGGAUCAUAGUGGUUAAAGAGACAUGGAGUCUUCCUU
ensembl:lncRNA